rnacentral:rRNA from 1 species
ACAUGCAGUCGAGCGGUAAGGCCUUUCGGGGUACACGAGCGGCGAACGGGUGAGUAACACGUGGGUGAUCUGCCCUGCACUUCGGGAUAAGCCUGGGAAACUGGGUCUAAUACCGGAUAUGACCUCCUAUCGCAUGGUGGGUGGUGGAAAGAUUUAUCGGUGCAGGAUGGGCCCGCGGCCUAUCAGCUUGUUGGUGGGGUAAUGGCCUACCAAGGCGACGACGGGUAGCCGACCUGAGAGGGUGACCGGCCACACUGGGACUGAGACACGGCCCAGACUCCUACGGGAGGCAGCAGUGGGGAAUAUUGCACAAUGGGCGAAAGCCUGAUGCAGCGACGCCGCGUGAGGGAUGACGGCCUUCGGGUUGUAAACCUCUUUCAGCAGGGACGAAGCGCAAGUGACGGUACCUGCAGAAGAAGCACCGGCUAACUACGUGCCAGCAGCCGCGGUAAUACGUAGGGUGCAAGCGUUGUCCGGAAUUACUGGGCGUAAAGAGUUCGUAGGCGGUUUGUCGCGUCGUUUGUGAAAACCAGCAGCUCAACUGCUGGCUUGCAGGCGAUACGGGCAGACUUGAGUACUGCAGGGGAGACUGGAAUUCCUGGUGUAGCGGUGAGAUGCGCAGAUAUCAGGAUGAACACCGGUGGCGAAGGCGUGUCUCUGGGCAGUAACUGACGCUGAGGAACGAAAGCGUGAGUAGCGAACAGGAUUAGAUACCCUGGUAGUCCACGCCGUAAACGGUGRACUAGCARGGUAUCUMAKCYUGUUCSCUAC